CCUGGGGAAGUGAGUCAUAACAAGGCAAAAAGGGAGUUUCACUGCCACGCUGAGCUGAUGACAAAGAUGAGCCCAAAAUAUGAAACCUUUGCAUUCUUCACAUCUUUUUUCCACACGAGCCUUGGAUCCCCAGACCUGCAGCAUGGCUUUGAUGUCCUAAGCAGCACUGGAAGCUGUGGGACCUGCUUCCAGGCAGGAGACUGUUGAGCAGCUGAACUGCAUCCCACAAGCAAAAUAAUGAAUGCUCUGAAAGGAGGAGAGCAAAGACAGUCCCAUCCUUUGAGCUGGCCACUUGACUUGCUCCAUGACUAUAUUUUAUCUGUGCCUUAAACCUUAGCAAUU